ACAGGCAAACACUGGUGUAUUUUAUUAGGAGGGACAUUUUCUACAGCAAACUUUGCGGGGUGUUUAUGUAUUGCAUGUUCACAAGUGUGCAUGUGUGUACCCAUGCACGUGGAGGCUGGAGGACAACCUUAGUUGUUGUUACAGGGUCUCCCGCUGGCCUGGAACUCACCGAGUAGGGUGGCCGGCCAGCAAGACCCAGCACGUCUCCUGUCUACCUUUCCCACCGGCUUGUCUGUUUCACGGGUUCUGGGGAUCAAACUCAGGUUCCCGAGCUCGCAAGGGGCAAAUAACUUUACUGAGUGAAUUAUCUCCCCAGCCCAUGAUAUUUAAUUUUUAUCAAGACAGAUACUAAUUUCCAAAAAGAAAACUUUUAGUUAUUCCUGAACACGUUUCCUAAAAUGUACUGAGAAAAUGAAAACACUAAAUUUUAGAGAUGAUUUAAUAUUUUUAACAGAAUGAAUGUCACCUUCCCAUCACUAAGUGAUAAAUCACCCCUAGAAUGUUGAGAGACAAAAUCCCAGAGAGCAAGCGUGCCAGCCCGGGGGAGCCUGGAGUGCUCAUAGGUGCUGGAGGCCACCAGACUCUAGCUUUGUGAGCUGUGGUGCCCUGGAGCUCCACCCGGGUGGGGAAAGCUCUAGAGAGCAGCUUUUGACAUUUCCUUUUCUUCUCCUGGGCUCAAUCAUGGGCUUCACUCUGAAUGCUUUCAUCCCAACUUCUCCAACCCCACUCCUCCUCCACUGUGGCUGUGGCCUUAGGACCUGGCUUUCAUUCCCCCGUCUUGGCGCUCUCAGAUGUGGUAGUGUCGUCCUGAGCCUGCCUUGGUCUCAGACAAGAACCCCUGGCCAGACACCAUAGAGCACAGUACUGCCUCCAGUUCAGCUACGGCCAGCGGGUCUGCCAGCGUCGCCCUUCCAACAGGGGAUUUUCUACCUUAUUUGUGAAGCAUUUACCUGGCUUCUGAGAGACUCAGACAGUAAAUAUUGUUGCCCUGUCCUUCUGUGCAUUAAAGACCACACUCCUGUACCUCUCAGCUCCGAGGCAGAGGUUACACUGGACUCCUGUGGGGAGCCAGCAGCGCGCCUUUCCUGCCCUGCUCAGACCCACCCAGCCCACCUCAGCCACUUUAGGUUACAGCCCGUGGGCAUGUAGACUAACAACAGCCUGUUCCUCAACAUCAGAUGUUCUGUGUGCAAGGGACACUUUGUCAGAGUUAAGUUCUCACGGUUUUAGGCAGAGGGAACAGAGCUGUGCUGCACAGUCACCACGUUCUUCCUCCCAUUGAGUGUCUGCAGGAUGCUGGAAAUGCACUCAACACCCGUCAGUUCCUGAAGAGAUGAUACGGCUCUUAGCCGGAAGGACCCGGCAAUGGGACGAUCACCACUCCUUGCUUUUGUUUAAGAGCAAAGGAGACAACAGGCGAUCCACUGCCCGUGUGUCUUCAGGGCCUGCGGACAGGUGAAGGCCUGGGAGUGGGCUGGAGCAGGGCUGCUGAGUUCUUGAAUCCGCUUCAGUAUCGAUUUCUUUAGCACAGCAAGUAGGAAUGAUAUAUCAAAUGCAACAAAGCACAGAGCAAAACCAUUUGUAAUCACAGCAACUGUCAUACUCGGCUGGUUUCUCUCCUUCUGUAGACUCUUAAUACUGAAUAGGCCUCAUAAUUUUUGCAGUGGGUUUGCCCAAUUUUAUUUUAUAAUAUUUACGCUUCUGUGGCAUCUUUCCCAGGACAUUAAAUUCUCUGUUUCUGUUACCAGCCAGCUCUAACAAUGUAGUUACCGUAAGUGUAUUUUUAUGUUCUGGCUCCCUUUUAAAAAUGCAUUUAUCAGAAAUUACUCAUCCCAUAUACGUCUGUCAGCUCCCGGGCCGCCCUCUUAGUCCACUGAUCUACAUUUAUGCUUUCUUAUUAGCACUAAGCACCUCUUAUUUUUCUUUAUAAUGUACUUUAGAAUACAUGGCCAUUUGUUCUUCCUCGUUGUUCUUAGAUUCUUAUUUCAAUCCUAAUGACUUUAAUAAUUAUAUUUCCUGUUCCACAAAUAAUCCUGUUGGGAUUUUAAUUGAAACUGUUUUAUCCCUAUAAAUCUCCUGGGGUCAAUUCAUCGUCUUUCCAUUCAGCCGGCAGCAGAGUCCAUCUCUCCGUCUAUUCAAGUGUUUCUUCUGUCUCUUCACGGCCCACUCUCAUCUCACAUAGGGCUGAUGUUUCUCUUGCAUACAUCGUCCAUCAUUAUUUAACGGUAUAGUUCCCCAUUCUCUGUAAGAAGUUGAUUCUUGUUAUUUCCCCUUGGUACUAUCCUGGUUAUCAACUCCCAUUCAUAUCAUGGCAGCAGUUAUGGGUAGGGACAAAGGUUGUGCCCAGUGUCUGUGAAGUGUGUCUCUCCUGAGGACACAGCAUCUUUGACUCACCCGUUCAUCCUGCAUCUGUUCAUUCACAAUAUGCUCAUUGAGUACGUGUGGUGUGCUCGACAGUGCCUAUGGCUCUGAGAAAAAUCCUCAGGGAGAAGAUAUAACAGUCUCUCUACCCCUAGCCUACAUCUUGCCACACUUAAACUAAAUGCCAUUACAGUUUAUGCCCCUUCUCCCAUGCCUUGGCUUUUCAGAAAAGAAGGGGACAUCUAACUUGAUCAAGCAGAGGUGAUCAUAUGACUCUAUCCAACUUCCCUACCAUGUAACUGUAUUUGUAAGGAUGGGUAUUAGUAUUCUAAUUGUACAUCUCUUGGAAAGGCCAAAGUGCUUUCUGAAAUAACUGAAUGAAUCACAGAAAUUCUGGAAGUACGAACCUGUGGGAAAUGAGCAAUCAAAACAAAACAGGAUGUCAUGGACUCCGCAGCAGCCCAUUCGAUCCUGCAGGGUAAGAAACAAUAUGAGUCCAGCCCACUCCCUGCCCCUUCACCAACACCAGGAGAAUGAAAAACAGAACAAUAGAGACAAUUCUGAGAGCAUUAAACCCCGGGCAGGCUCUCCUGAGCUAGGGUUCCCUGUGAGGGGGAAGCCGCACAGCCUCUGACAAAAGGGCAUCCCUGGGUGCCCGAGAGCCCAGGAUGUACUUGACAACAGCACAGGAUGUCACACUUGCAUUUUGGGGCUCUCGACGGGACUGUUAUGAUACUAUGUGUGUGUCUAUACAUGUGUGUGUGUAUAUAUAUAUGCAGUGCAUAUGUGCAUGCAUAUGCAUGUCUAUAUGUGUGUGUAUAUGUUUGUGAUCAUAUGUAUGCAUGGGUUUGUGCAUGUAUGAGUAUAUGUGUGUAUGUGUAUACGCAUGUGUGUACGUGUGCAUAGGUGUAUAUGCGUGUGUAUGUGUGUGUGUGUGUGUGUAUUGGGGAUUGCACCCAGAAGCAUGGUUGUGUGUAUGUUAAAACAUACAUCUCUAUAACUGAGCUACAUCCUCAAUUUUAAAAUAUAUAUAUUUUUUAAAUUUUGAGACUAGGUCUUGCUAAAUUGCCCAGGUCAGCCUUGAACUCACUCUGUAGCCAGGAUAGGUCUUGAAUUUCUGAUUCUCUGGUUCCAGCCUUCCGAGCAGCUUCCCAGGUCUGUGCCAUCAGACCCCUCUCUGCUUUAGGAUUUUAAAGGACAGUUACACACUUGGCGUGGUGACAUCUCUUGUGACAGCAGGGAGGAGGCUGAGGCAGACAAGCACAUGGCUUGGGUAGAUGCCAAUAAACUGCACUUACAAUAAAGCUUCACACCAGAUCAGGGAGCAGCUGGGAGACUAGAUGUAUGAUAAACAGGGUUCUACUGGAAAUGGGGAAAGCUGUGUGGUAGUCGCCACUAGCGACUCCUGUGAUGGGGUAAAGUAGGAAAUCCCCUUGGAGUGGCCUGGAUUGCCUCAGCAGGUAAGGCCCACCCCCAGGCAAGCCUGGCUAUCUGAGUUCCAACCCCGGAACCCAUGGGAAGGUAGGAGAGGUCUCACUCCACAGAGCUGUCCUCCUUCCUCUAUCCACGCGCUAUGGCAUGUGCACACACACAAAUAAUAAUAAUAACAAUAACAACAACAACAAUAAUAAUAACAAUAAUAAAUUUAAUUAAAAAAUCUCCGUGGGGACCAGGGCAUUUCCAUCUCUGCAAAACCUUAGGUUUGUUGUUUUAAAAAUAGGAACCUUGUGCCCAAGAAACAAUUUUUUGUAUUUUCUCUGACUUCAGGAAACUCUACUAUUUACAUGUGACAAAUGAUGGGGGCCCUGCUAACUUCUUAUGAAAUUUAUUCAGUGACUAAUGUUGUCUUUCUCACUAAAAAUACGGGGGAAAUGGAGUGCUGUUUUCCUGCUCUUUUAUCUGAACACGCUGAAGGGGAAACACUCCGGUCUCAUAUUUUUCUCUUAACAAACGGUAGGUGUGGUGCGCUUGGUCAAGUUAGGGCCUAUUAAAAAUUUAUGGAUAUUGUCAAAAAUUCUCAAACAAAUGUGCAAAUGGCCAGUCUGGAGUUCACAGUGAUUUAGAAAGCAGAACUCCUCAAAUGAUAAAUUUCCCCCCGAGGCCCGACACCAGGCUUCGACGGGUCUCACCGUCUCAGACACACAGGACAGAGAUUUAUCUGUGUUUCAUCAAGUAUGAAAAAUAUAUGGAUGGAGGGGUUUCCGGCCGAUCCCCCCCAGUCAUCCAGCCACCUCCAUUAAUGUCAGCAGACCCAUAAAUUUCUCCCAAGUUCUAAAGCAAGCAGCUUGUGCCACUGCACAGAAGCCUCUGAAGGUGUCACUUGCUGCCCAUAAAUUCGCAGACACUCAAUAAAGGCAAUGGACUGCACAUGGACGUGAUUACAUGGCCUCCUUGGGACACCAAGUGGGCCUGUGCUCACAGGAGAGCAGGAGAGCCCUGCGCACCCAGUCUCUUGAUCCCCAGGAGCCAGAUAAGAGAGUCGAUCUAUUCAUAGAUGCCUUGCUUAUUAGUGGGUGUUAUUAGCUGGUUCCAGUCUAGACCGAGGCUUCCUUCUUGGCCCAAGAGUAUUGUCUUGAAUUCUGCUCAUGUUUGAAUGUGACAAGCACACCCCCCACAUCCAGCCAGCCUGCCCUUCCCUUUACAAUUUCAUUAAAAGAAACACUUCAUUAGGGAUGAUAUGAGAACCUAUGUUGGUUUGCUCCUCUGUUGACAAAGUGACAAGUAGAUCUUGUUUCUACUUUCCUAUCCCAAAUGUCAUUUAUGGAGGAGAAUUAAUGCUCGGGACAGACCUGCUCCUAUCGGGAUAAAAGCAAAGGCUUUUCUUCGCUGUUAUCCUUUCCCAUCGAGCAAGGCUCAAAACCCAGCCAGCGACUCCCCUGGCCCUUCCUCAUCAAAAGGAGCUUCACCUUCCCGUUCUUUCCCUAUCCUCUGUCCUUGUUUGAUCGAGUGACAAGUGAGUGUCACUGUAUUUAGAAAACACAAAGGUGUGGCUAUUUCUGUCCCACAGUGUUUACACAAAGCCACGACUCUUCUGUCUGUUCAGAACCGGAAGGCCCUGAGUGCAAAGACCCAUGUGUGAUCUGUCACCACAGUGUUACACACACUGCAGCAGAAAUACUUAGACGUGAGUAUUUAACCCACGUCUAAGCCUAAGACAAGUUUUCAUUUCUUGGGUGGUGUUGGAGAUAGAAGAUCCACCAGGGGCAGCUAGUGCCAACCUUGAUUCUGUGAGACCACUGUCAUGGAGAUGACUCUUCUGUCCUUGCAGUCUGUGGGGCACACUGAAAAUGCAGAGGGCCCAAGACAAAGGAAAUUAGCCUACUGCAUUUGCUGAAGAGCCUAGUGUCUGUCUGUCAGUGAGCUCUGGUACCUGGACCGGGAACCACAAGAGCCCCGGGUGCUCUUAAUUUAAUCUACUGUGAUGAGCCACAUCAAAACCUACACUUUCACAUGGGUUAUGUGCCUGUCCCCUGUCCUCAGUGAAUAGUGCCAGGACCGUGAGUUCUCACCCAUCCUUUCUUGUGUGCCCUGUCCAAUCUCGUACAUUCUUUAUGAAAGCCAUGGCAGGGAGGAAGCUCAUUUGGCUUCUUACUCAAGCAACCCACACGUGUGUCUGCACCUCCUCUGCUGACUGCAGCUGCUUUUGAAAACUCACUGAAUGUGUAAUUACACAAAGAAUUCACAAUAACGAGCCCUCGACUCGUCUCUCCAUGUGUGACCACCCCCUGUCUUCCUUACACUUCUGUCUCAUUUUGAAUAUAACUCAGGGUUCCUGCAGAACAUGUAGAAAAUGUGAAGGAAAAAAUCAAAUAUAGCUCAGAUCCCAACUACCUGGAGGGUACCUGACAGGGGCAGGCUGGUGGCUUCUUUAGAAAGUUCUCAGAGGGAAGCUCUGCCCUUUCCCCGGAGACCACCCUGGGUCUACACAAUGCCCACGUCUCUAAAGGUCUCUCCCCGGCGUCUUCAUUCUCUAUGUGCUAGUCACUAGGUGGACUUCGAGCCAAGCUGCCCAGCUUCCAUAAGUCUACGAUGUCUCCUGUGAAACAACUAGAGCAGGCCACAGGCAGCUUUCUCAGUCCCUGGAUUCUUCUCCCUCUCUUCCCUUCUUACCCCCUUCUUUCUCUCUCGGGGGCUCCCUCUUUUCCUCUUAACUACACUGCAUGAACACAUGAAGCAGCCGAGGGAAGAGGAGGAAUCAGGAGCGAGCAAAGACCUGGGCUCCCCGGAGGUACCUAAUGAGCCCAACCGCCGUGGGCACUAUUGUGGUUUGAACAAGAAAUGCUCUCACAGGCUCCUGUGUUUCACACUCAGUUCCCACAUGUGCUGCUGUUUCGGAAGGCUGUAGAACCUUUAAAAGGUGGUGUGCAUCAUGGGAGGAAGUAGUCACCAGGCGUGAACCCCAAGAUUUGAUAGCCUGGCCCUACUUCCUGCCGUUCUCUACUUCCUGCCUGUAAACUCCCUCACACUUCCGCCCCCACGCCUUUGCUACCAUGAUCGUCUGUUUCUCCUUAAACUGAAAGUCAAAAUAAGCCCUUCCUCAUUUAGGUUGCUUCUUGUCGGCCAGCAUGUCUCUGUUCCCUGCCUGACCUUUGCGUUGACAGGUUGAUUCUAGAGUUCCCAAUGCAUGAGGGAGAAGACAGUCUCAAAGUCUCCCAGACUUAAAAUGCCAACCUUUAACUCACAGAACUGCACACUGAAACGGGGGUAGGGGAGCAGGCUUAACUUCAUUUAAACCGUAUCUCAAUUUUUUUGUUUUGUUUUUUUGAGACAGGGUUUCUCUGUGUAGUUUUGGUGUCUGUCCUGGAUCUCACUCUAUAGACCAGGCUGGCCUUGAACUCAUAGAGAUCCGCCCAGCUCUGCCUCCCGAGUGCUGGGAUUAAAAGCAUGCGCCACUGCCGCCCAGCUCAUAUCUCAAUUUUUAAAACACAAACAUCAAAAAAGAAAACAGCAGUGAAAAAAUUAAUACAAGUAUCCACCAUCCUUUCAUACAAAGGGGUGGUGACCAUUUCUCAGUCUUUUGUGGCUUAGAGUUGAGGACACUCGGGCCAAGGGCCUUGCUGCUGGAGCCUUUGGGAGGAGGAAAUGUCGGUGUGAUGGUUAGUAUUUUUAAUAUUUAAUGAAUUUAAUAAUUAAUUUUACAGGACUUAGCAUCACCCAGGAAAUAACUUCCGGGCGUGUCUGUGAGGGAGUUUCUAUCAGGCUAACUGAGGUGAGCCCCUCGCAAGCUUGAGAUCCUAAUGGAAUGAAAAGGAGGAAGUGGGCUGAAUACUGUGUUCGGCUUUCCUUGCCUCCUCACCAUGGCUGCAGUGUGACCAGCUGCUCAUGCUCCCGUGGCCCGGUCUUCCCUGCCAAGACUGUGCUCUCCCAAACUGAAAGCCAAAAUAAAUCCUUCCUUCCUUAAACUGCUUUCUUCACAGCAACGGGAAAAGUAAGUGAUGUCCUGGGCGUUGGGGAUCAGAGCUGAGGGAGAAUUCUAGUCGAGAAAGCCCCUCAAAGUCUCCAGUGUAUGUUGGUCUGAUUCGGGGAUUACACAGCACUCCAGACUUAGAUCUUCCCAACCUCUGCAUUCCUAAUUUCAGUGCCAUUGGUGGCCUACUGUUACCAUGGUUACUUGGCGGGUUGUCCAUCUCCUGUAUCACAUAAAGAAUUCAAGGUGAUGGUAGUAAAAUUAAAAUGAAAGCUACAGCUGGGAGGCUGGCUCCGACCGCUUCAGCCUGUGGGGCUUCUGUGACGCCUGUGUGGGCUAAUUGCACUAGUUGUGUACGGUGUGUAAGUGAAAUAAUGUAGAAGACUAAAGAACUAAUUAGAUCGGUGCUUAUUAUGAGCACCUGGCACAGACGCCUCUCUCGCAGAGCAGGAGGCAGGCAGAUUCAUCUGAAUGGGGCAAACCGUGAACGCAACGGAGCUAGCGGGAGCUGAGGUGGUCCAGCAGCUCUGGGGGUUCAGGCAGGCAGUGCCAGGGGCGGCACUGGGGAAACAGGACUCCGUUCCCUCAGGCCAGCGUCAAAGCCAAGGUUUCGCUGUCCACUGAAGACAGCGGCGUAGCCAGCAAGUUCCUGUUCCCAGACUGGCCCUCCCGGGACCAGAGCACGGGGACUCCGCGUUGACAGGCUAGUUCUAGAGUUCCCAAUGCACAAUCUAAGGGAGAAGACAGGGUCCCACAUUCAAGGUCUCCCAGUCCUAAAAUGCCAAAGCUUAACUCCCGUAGCUAAGAUUGUAAUUUAGUUUUGAAAGCACAACCCCCCACCCCCAAAUGACUGAAACUUCCUCCAGGAAGAAUGCACAUCUGCACACGACCUCAGACAAGUUGCUCCCGUGCCCUGGGGCUGAGGCACAUUCCACACUUGCUGUUCUGUAUCACAACCCUAUUGUGACCCCUCUCGCAGUUGAACCUCCCCUCCCACUCAGAGCUUCCUCUCUCCACCACCCCCACCAGCCAAUCUCUCCUUUGUAGGCUGGUAGGCAGCACUGUGACUAAGAGGCCACAAAAUAUGCCUAUGGCUGGGGAUGUCACAGUGCUAGACACAGGGACAAAAACAUUCGCUACCAAGGAUAUAACACAUGUUCUCAACCAUAUGUUGCGUGUCUGAUGGAGCACCCAGAGUCCUCAGUAUUCUAAUGGCGUCAUAUGUAUUAAUCUGUACUGUCCUGUCCAUGACGUUGGCAUUAAGACUGUCCCCAUCACCAACACACAUUUAGAUGAGGGAACAAAGGCAGAGAGAGGAGGUACGGUUCAAGGUCACAAAGACUUAAGUGGUGGAGUGGAGAUCUGAACCCACGCAGCCUCUACUCUAGGGCCUCAACUCCCAAGUUAGUGUGAGAGCUUGUGUGUGUACACAGCAUUCACAGUACGUUUGUUGUCUAUACAUGAUGCAUCGUUGCAUCAUAACAUUAACAGGCAGUGGUGGUGGCUCCAUCUCCAACAGGUGGUCACACUGCUGAGGUUCAACUUACCCCCCAGAGUCCUUUCAUUUGACCUUCACAGUGACGGUUGUGUCUGCUGGAAGAGCGACAUAGCCUGUAUGUUGCUCACAGCACUCCCCAGGUUGAAUGUGAAAUGUCACCCACAGACUCUACUUCCUGCUUCUGGAUGCAACCCAUCCAACCAUGUCUAGGGUUCUGUGCCCUGUCUCCCCUGCUGUGAUGGAUGUAUCCCCUCAAACUGUGAGCCACAGAAGCCUUUUCUUUCUUAAGUCCCUUCUUGUCAGGAACUUGAUCCCAGCAACGGGAACAGUAACAUGGAAGCCUGCUGAAAUGGGACUGGAGAGGCCAUCAGAGUGAUCUGACUCCUGCGCUGUAGGCCCCAUUUGAAGUCCCUGGAAGUCAGGGCACUUUUUAAGAAGGUCAAUAAAUGUUGGUUAGUUUUAACUGUCAACUUGCCAUAAUCUAGAAUAACCUGAGAAGAAAGCCUCAAUGGAGGGAUUGCCCAGAUCAGGUUGGCUUGUGGGGCUAUCUCUGGGGAAUUAUCUUGAUCAGUACCUAACGGAGCCCACUCUGGGGGACACCAUUCUCUAGGCUGGGUCCUGAAUGGUAUGAGUGAGGAGAAAGAGCAGAAGCAGGGAGCAUGGGGGGGGCACCAUUUCUCUUUGUUCUUGAGUGGAUAUGAUAUGAUCGACUGCUUCAAGCUCCUGCUUCUGUGACUCUUCUCUGCAAUGAUGGGCUGGAACUCGGGCUAAAAAUACAAGUCAAACCUCUCCUAUCCUAUGCUGAUUUCUGUCAGAGUGUUUAAUCAUAGCAACAGAAAUUAAACUAAGCCAGUCAGCAAUGUACUGCCAUGGGCAGAGGCACCACAAGACUCUCAAACAAACUUGGGGUUUUCAUCGGUAAAGAUCUCAAGGCCUGGAGUUAGUCCCAGUUUUCUGGUGAUGAAAACAGCUUGCAUGGUGCUGAUGCAGGUGACUGGGAGGAGGAAAGGCUGUCGCCUCUUCAGUGAUGAGAGCCCCAGUUCCAUAGACUGGCUCUGGGGGUUGCAGCCUGGCUGAGCUUCAGGGUUCUGUUUCAUAACUGUGUGUUGGAUGAAGCUGUGGCUGAGACCCCUUCAUGAGACUUUGGGAUGAAGUUCACGAUUGAGCCCUGGAACUAACGCAGUGAAUGGUGGUCUCAAGUGAGGACACACACCAAGUACAGCAAGUGCUUUCUGGAAACAAGCAUCCCCUCAGCUGCGCUGCUCCACGUGCUAGCUACUGGGGACAGGCGGCUGCCCCAACCUACACUCAAAUGAAGUAAAAUAAAAUGUACAGUUGCUGUUCACCUUACAGGGCUGUGUCUCAUAAACACACCAUGAGUUGGAAAGCAUGUUAAGUGGAAAAUACAUUUAAUAUACCUGCCCUGCCGAGCGUCCCAGCUUAACCAUACAGCACACGCCAGAAUCCCCUUGAGGUCACUGGAAUGACUGGGAGCUCAGUCCUACCCCAUACUCCACUACCCACUACUGCCCAUCACCAAGGAUCAUACCACACAGCUCCAGCUUCAAAUUAGGAAAGCCAUUUCGGCUAAAUGUGCCCUGGUUUGCGCAUUGCAAAGUUGAGCCUCUGUAAGUCAGAGCCAGUCUACACACCCAGACGGGGUCAUCGUCUACGACUGUGCUAGCUGGCAGAAUCCAGAGCAUUUCCAGGGCAGCAGAGAGUCCUGUUGGGUUGUAACUAUCUAGACCAACCCAAAGCCCUGCAGUGUGGUCCUUACUAUGUUGCACAGUGCUAUCUCAUAGGGCUGUAGGUGUGGGGUGGGCUGAACAGUGACUCCAAAGACCCUUAGUCCUAAUCCCUGGAGUCUAUGACACCAUACAUGGAAAAAUGGUUCUGGAAGAUGUGACUGAACCUCUGAUAGGGGUUAUCAGUGUCCUGUGGUAUUCCCACCAUGUUGCCCUCAUUAUCUUGGAAAACAUGUGCCGGGUGGUCAGAGACACACAGAAGAGAGAGCGAUGUGACCACCGAGGUAGGCUGAGUGACCUAGACACAAGCCAAGGAGUGGCAGCAGCCACCAGAGGCUAGAAGAGGCAAUGACUGGAUUAUCCUUGGAGUUUCUAGGGAGCACGGCUCUACCCCUUCAUCUCAGAACAUCCAGACUUCCGGUUAAGACACCAAGAUUGCAGCGAUUUAAUUUGGCAAGAGCAAAGUAACACAAAGGUCACUUUGUGUAAAGCAUUCUUGAAAUAGAAAAAGUAUUCAGGAAAUGACAGUCUCCCCCUCCUCCCUGUAUGCACACCUGAGGUACCCAGUCACUAAGAUGGCUACAGUUACCAACCAGACCCUGGGAGUUACAGUGCGGAACCCCACUUUUGAGUUCUGGCCCUGGGGCUAGGAGGAGGAAUGAAGGCGAAGCCUGGGAAGUUGGUUCUUGCUUAGUCAACAACUGAAACAGCUUCUGACUAGUUAUGCUUCCCAGACUGAGAUCUUCAACAAAAGCUAUUGCUUCAAAUAGCCCACGCUAUACCAAGGAUGACAUGCGUAUUGCCACACUUUGCAGGAGAGAGAGCCCAGGUCACUGCCACACUCUGCAGGGGAGAGAGCCCAGGUCACUGCCACACUCUGCAGCAGAGCCCAGGUCACUGCGACACUCUGCAGGGGAGAGAGCCCAGGUCACUGCCACACUCUGCAGCAGAGCCCAGGUCACUGCGACACUCUGCAGGGGAGAGAGCCCAGGUCACUGCCACACUCUGCAGCAGAGCCCAGGUCACUGCGACACUCUGCAGGGGAGAGAGCCCAGGUCACUGCCACACUCUGCAGGGGAGAGAGCCCAGGUCACUGCCACACUCUGCAGGGGAGAGAGCCCAGGUCACUGCCACACUCUGCAGGAGAGCCCAGGUCACUGCCACACUCUGCAGCAGAGCCCAGGUCACUGCCACACUCUGCAGGAGAGCCCAGGUCACUGCGACACUCUGCAGCAGAGCCCAGGUCACUGCCACACUCUGCAGGAGAGCCCAGGUCACUGCCACACUCUGCAGGAGAGCCCAGGUCACUGCCACACUCUGCAGCAGAGCCCAGGUCACUGCCACACUCUGCAGCAGAGCCCAGGUCACUGCCACACUCUGCAGCAGAGCCCAGGUCACUGCCACACUCUGCAGCAGAGCCCAGGUCACUGCCACACUCUGCAGCAGAGCCCAGGUCCUUAGAGUGUGAAGAAGGGGAAGAAGACAUACCAAAGGAUGCGUGUGGAAGGUGCCUGGAAAGGACCUGAUGCCUCCUUUGGCAUAAUAAUGACAAAUAAAAACCUAAACAGUCAGUAUUCUAAAAAUAAGCCAAAAGCUUAAGGAUGUUUAACAUUCGUAUAUAUAACUACAUAUCAGAGAUCACUUGAAGAAAACCCAGCACCAAGACACAGAGAAGUAGAUAAAUGACAGAACAGUCCAGAUGAAGAACUAUCAACAAGCAAAACCAACUCAAAUAAGUUGGGGAUACACACCUGUUAAUCCUAGCACUCAGGAGGCUGAGGCAGGAGGAUCUUGAAUUCAAGGUUAACCUGGGCUGCAUAGUUAGAUCCUGUCUCAAGGCAAAAACAAAAAUGGAAUUAUUCCCCAACCCCCAAAAUAAUUAAAUUAGCUGGGUGCUGGUGGUGCACGCCUUUAAUCUCAGUGCUCGGGAGGCAGAGGCAAGUAAGUCUCUGAGUUCAAGGCCAGCCUGAUCUACAGAGCAAGUUCCAGGACACCCAGGGCUACACAGAGAAACCCUGUCUCGAAAAACCAAAAAAAAAAAAAAAAAAAAAAAUUAAAAAUUUAAAUUAACACAAAUUCCAAGAUCACUUGAUAGCCUUUUUUAUUGGCUCUGCAAAAUAUUAAAAAGAUUACAAUCAGUUUAUUAUCUAGUGCACCCAUGCAAUCAAAUGCCAAGCAUUCAUUAAAAAAAAAUCUUUUGAAAAGCAUUACAGGGCCAUGGGAAAGUUCAAUGUUGAAGUUUUAAAGGAAAAUAUGAAUAAAUAAAACUAAUUAAAAUAUAUAUAUAUAUAUUAGAGAGAAAAGAGACAGGAAGGAACUUGACCGAAAAUGUUCACAGUUGUUGUCUCUGUAUGCUGAAAUGAAAACUAUACAUAGGCCAGUUUUUCUUUUUUAAACUUUACCUCAAAUGAAUAUGUGUUACUUUUGAAGUUUAACUUUUCAGCGGGAUGGGGAGGGGAUGAGAGACGAAGAUAAGAUUGAAAACGACCUAAAAUUGUUAUAUACGUGUAUGAAACUGUUAAUUUUUUAAACCUUCACCUAGGACAGCU